GCCUAGGUGGCGAAAUUGGUAGACGCAAGGGACUUAAAAUCCCUCGGAGCUUAAACUCCAUGCCGGUUCAAAUCCGGCCCUGGGCACCA
rnacentral:tRNA from 1 species